GACGAACGCUGGCGGCGUGCUUAACACAUGCAAGUCGAACGGAAAGGCCCUGCUUUUGUGGGGUGCUCGAGUGGCGAACGGGUGAGUAACACGUGAGUAACCUGCCCUUGACUUUGGGAUAACUUCAGGAAACUGGGGCUAAUACCGGAUAGGAGCUCCUGCUGCAUGGCGGGGGUUGGAAAGUUUCGGCGGUUGGGGAUGGACUCGCGGCUUAUCAGCUUGUUGGUGGGGUAGUGGCUUACCAAGGCUUUGACGGGUAGCCGGCCUGAGAGGGUGACCGGCCACAUUGGGACUGAGAUACGGCCCAGACUCCUACGGGAGGCAGCAGUGGGGAAUAUUGCACAAUGGGCGGAAGCCUGAUGCAGCAACGCCGCGUGCGGGAUGACGGCCUUCGGGUUGUAAACCGCUUUCGCCUGUGACGAAGCGUGAGUGACGGUAAUGGGUAAAGAAGCACCGGCUAACUACGUGCCAGCAGCCGCGGUGAUACGUAGGGUGCGAGCGUUGUCCGGAUUUAUUGGGCGUAAAGGGCUCGUAGGUGGUUGAUCGCGUCGGAAGUGUAAUCUUGGGGCUUAACCCUGAGCGUGCUUUCGAUACGGGUUGACUUGAGGAAGGUAGGGGAGAAUGGAAUUCCUGGUGGAGCGGUGGAAUGCGCAGAUAUCAGGAGGAACACCAGUGGCGAAGGCGGUUCUCUGGGCCUUUCCUGACGCUGAGGAGCGAAAGCGUGGGGAGCGAACAGGCUUAGAUACCCUGGUAGUCCACGCUGUAAACGGUGGGUACUAGGUGUGGGGUCCAUUCCACGGGUUCCGUGCCGUAGCUAACGCUUUAAGUACCCCGCCUGGGGAGUACGGCCGCAAGGCCAAAACUCAAAGGAAUUGACGGGGCCCCGCACAAGCGGCGGAGCAUGCGGAUUAAUUCGAUGCAACGCGUAGAACCUUACCUGGGUUUGACAUGGAUCGGGAGCGCUCAGAGAUGGGUGUGCCUCUUUUGGGGUCGGUUCACAGGUGGUGCAUGGCUGUCGUCAGCUCGUGUCGUGAGAUGUUGGGUUAAGUCCCGCAACGAGCGCAACCCUUGUUCACUGUUGCCAGCACGUUAUGGUGGGGACUCAGUGGAGACCGCCGGGGUCAACUCGGAGGAAGGUGGGGAUGACGUCAAGUCAUCAUGCCCCUUAUGUCCAGGGCUUCACGCAUGCUACAAUGGCUGGUACAGAGAGUGGCGAGCCUGUGAGGGUGAGCGAAUCUCGGAAAGCCGGUCUCAGUUCGGAUUGGGGUCUGCAACUCGACCUCAUGAAGUCGGAGUCGCUAGUAAUCGCAGAUCAGCAACGCUGCGGUGAAUACGUUCCCGGGGCU
rnacentral:rRNA from 1 species